rnacentral:lncRNA from 1 species
UUUGGUUUACAGGAUUGAGGUAGUUCUACCUAUUAGAAUCCCCUCAUUGCUUGUUGAAGGGAUCCAAUCGCAAUGUGAUCAGUUGGCCCUAGGAAAAGGGUUAAAAGCUAUUCAUCAGGGUCAGAUGUACCAUAAAUAAAUAAUAUGAGCCCAUAAUAAACAUGCUCGUCUCAGAGAAUUCCACAAAAGGGCUGGAUGUUGAAAAAGAUUCUUCCUUAACGAAAGGAUUCUAAAGGGAAAUGAAUGCCAAACUAGGAAAGUCCCUAUGUUGUAAAGAAGACCAUUUUUAGAAGAGCACUGAUCCUGAGUGAGAAUGCUAAUCCUAUAAACUCGGAUCCAGUCUAGAAACACUUCGUUUAAAGAAGAAGGAAGGACCAAGGUGAAAACCUGCAAAAGGGCACUUUGAUUCAAAAAAAAAAAAGAAGAAGAUGAAAAAAAUGAAAA